rnacentral:rRNA from 1 species
CAGCAGCCACGGGAAUACGAAGGGUGCAAGCGUUAAUCGGAAUUACUGGGCGUAAAGCGUGCGUAGGCGGUUUGUUAAGUCUGCUGUGAAAUCCCCGGGCUCAACCUGGGAAUGGCAGUGGAUACUGGCAAGCUAGAGUGUGUCAGAGGAUGGUGGAAUUCCCGGUGUAGCGGUGAAAUGCGUAGAGAUCGGGAGGAACAUCAGUGGCGAAGGCGGCCAUCUGGGACAACACUGACGCUGAGGCACGAAAGCGUGGGGAGCAAACAGGAUUAGAUACCCGAGUAGUCCCUGUCUCUUAUAA